rnacentral:rRNA from 1 species
CGAACGCUGGCGGCGUGCUUAACACAUGCAAGUCGAACGGAAAGGCCCUGCUUGCAGGGUACUCGAGUGGCGAACGGGUGAGUAACACGUGGGUGAUCUGCCCUGCACUUCGGGAUAAGCCUGGGAAACUGGGUCUAAUACCGGAUAGGAGCCAUUUUUAGUGGGAUGGUUGGAAAGUUUUUUCGGUGUAGGAUGAGCUCGCGGCCUAUCAGCUUGUUGGUGGGGUAAUGGCCUACCAAGGCGGCGACGGGUAGCCGGCCUGAGAGGGUGGACGGCCACAUUGGGACUGAGAUACGGCCCAGACUCCUACGGGAGGCAGCAGUGGGGAAUAUUGCACAAUGGGCGCAAGCCUGAUGCAGCGACGCCGCGUGGGGGAUGACGGCCUUCGGGUUGUAAACUCCUUUCGCUAGGGACGAAGCUUUUUGUGACGGUACCUAGAUAAGAAGCACCGGCUAACUACGUG